AGCGAACGCUGGCGGUAGGCCUAACACAUGCAAGUCGAACGGCAGCACAGUAAGAGCUUGCUCUUACGGGUGGCGAGUGGCGGACGGGUGACGAAUACAUCGGAAUCUACUUUUUCGGGGGGGAUAACGUAGGGAAACUUACGCUAAUACCGCAUACGACCUACGGGUGAAAGCAGGGGAUCUUCGGACCUUGCGCGAAUGAAUGAGCCGAUGUCGGAUUAGCUAGUUGGGUGGGUAAAGGCCCACCAAGGCGACGAUCCGUAGCUUGUCUGAGAGGCUGGUCGGCGACACUGGAGCUGAGACACGGUCCAGACUCCUGCGGGAGGCAGCAGUGGGGAAUAUUGGGCAAUGGGCGCAAGCCUGAUCCAGCCAUACCGCGUGGGUGAAGAAGGCCUUCGGGUUGUAAAGCCCUUUUGUUGGGAAAGAAAAGCAGCAGGUUAAUACCCCGCUGUUCUGACGGUACCCAAAGAAUAAGCACCGGCUAACUUCGUG
rnacentral:rRNA from 1 species